rnacentral:rRNA from 1 species
UUAAUUUGAGAGUUUGAUCCUGGCUCAGGACGAACGCUGGCGGCGUGCCUAAUACAUGCAAGUCGAACGAACUCUGGUAUUGAUUGGUGCUUGCAUCAUGAUUUACAUUUGAGUGAGUGGCGAACUGGUGAGUAACACGUGGGAAACCUGCCCAGAAGCGGGGGAUAACACCUGGAAACAGAUGCUAAUACCGCAUAACAACUUGGACCGCAUGGUCCGAGUUUGAAAGAUGGCUUCGGCUAUCACUUUUGGAUGGUCCCGCGGCGUAUUAGCUAGAUGGUGGGGUAACGGCUUACCAUGGCAAUGAUACGUAGCCGACCUGAGAGGGUAAUCGGCCACAUUGGGACUGAGACACGGCCCAAACUCCUACGGGAGGCAGCAGUAGGGAAUCUUCCACAAUGGACGAAAGUCUGAUGGAGCAACGCCGCGUGAGUGAAGAAGGGUUUCGGCUCGUAAAACUCUGUUGUUAAAGAAGAACAUAUCUGAGAGUAACUGUUCAGGUAUUGACGGUAUUUAACCAGAAAGCCACGGCUAACUACGUGCCAGCAGCCGCGGUAAUACGUAGGUGGCAAGCGUUGUCCGGAUUUAUUGGGCGUAAAGCGAGCGCAGGCGGUUUUUUAAGUCUGAUGUGAAAGCCUUCGGCUCAACCGAAGAAGUGCAUCGGAAACUGGGAAACUUGAGUGCAGAAGAGGACAGUGGAACUCCAUGUGUAGCGGUGAAAUGCGUAGAUAUAUGGAAGAACACCAGUGGCGAAGGCGGCUGUCUGGUCUGUAACUGACGCUGAGGCUCGAAAGUAUGGGUAGCAAACAGGAUUAGAUACCCUGGUAGUCCAUACCGUAAACGAUGAAUGCUAAGUGUUGGAGGGUUUCCGCCCUUCAGUGCUGCAGCUAACGCAUUAAGCAUUCCGCCUGGGGAGUACGGCCGCAAGGCUGAAACUCAAAGGAAUUGACGGGGGCCCACACAAGCGGUGGAGCAUGUGGUUUAAUUCGAAGCUACGCGAAGAACCUUACCAGGUCUUGACAUACUAUGCAAAUCUAAGAGAUUAGACGUUCCCUUCGGGGACAUGGAUACAGGUGGUGCAUGGUUGUCGUCAGCUCGUGUCGUGAGAUGUUGGGUUAAGUCCCGCAACGAGCGCAACCCUUAUUAUCAGUUGCCAGCAUUAAGUUGGGCACUCUGGUGAGACUGCCGGUGACAAACCGGAGGAAGGUGGGGAUGACGUCAAAUCAUCAUGCCCCUUAUGACCUGGGCUACACACGUGCUACAAUGGAUGGUACAACGAGUUGCGAACUCGCGAGAGUAAGCUAAUCUCUUAAAGCCAUUCUCAGUUCGGAUUGUAGGCUGCAACUCGCCUACAUGAAGUCGGAAUCGCUAGUAAUCGCGGAUCAGCAUGCCGCGGUGAAUACGUUCCCGGGCCUUGUACACACCGCCCGUCACACCAUGAGAGUUUGUAACACCCAAAGUCGGUGGGGUAACCUUUUAGGAACCAGCCGCCUAAGGUGGGACAGAUGAUUAGGGUGAAGUCGUAACAAGGUAGCCGUAGGAGAACCUGCGGCUGGAUCACCUCCUUUCUAAGGAA